rnacentral:misc_RNA from 1 species
UCUCCGUUGGUGAACCAGCGGAGGGAUCAUUACCGAGUUUACAACUCUCAAACCCCUGUGAACAUACCAUUUGUUGCCUCGGCGGUGCCUGCUUCGGCAGCCCGCCGGAGGACCCAAACCCUUGAUUUUAUACAGUAUCUUCUGAGUAAAUGAUUAAAUAAAUCAAAACUUUCAACAACGGAUCUCUUGGUUCUG